rnacentral:rRNA from 1 species
UACGUAGGGGUCUAGCGUUGUCCGGAAUUAUUGGGCGUAAAGAGCUCGUAGGCGGUUCGGCAAGUCGGAUGUGAAAUCUCCACGCUUAACGUGGAGGGGCCAUUCGAAACUGCCGUGCCUCGAGUCCGGUAGGGGAGUGCGGAAUUCCCGGUGUAGCGGUGAAAUGCGCAGAUAUCGGGAGGAACACCAGUGGCGAAGGCGGCGAUCUGGGAAGGAACUGACGCUGAGGAGCGAAAGCGUGGGGAGCGAACAGG